UACGUAGGGGGCAAGCGUUGUCCGGAUUUAUUGGGCGUAAAGAGCGUGUAGGCGGCCAUUCAGGUCAGCUGUGAAAACUCGAGGCUCAACCUCGAGACGUCGGUUGAAACCGUUUGGCUAGAGUCCGGAAGAGGAGAGUGGAAUUCCCGGUGUAGCGGUGAAAUGCGCAGAUAUCGGGAAGAACACCCGUGGCGAAGGCGGCUCUCUGGGACGGUACUGACGCUGAGACGCGAAAGCGUGGGGAGCGAUCCGG
rnacentral:rRNA from 1 species